rnacentral:rRNA from 2 species
AGAUGGGAGCUUGCUCCCUGAUGUUAGCGGCGGACGGGUGAGUAACACGUGGGUAACCUGCCUGUAAGACUGGGAUAACUCCGGGAAACCGGGGCUAAUACCGGAUGGUUGUUUGAACCGCAUGGUUCAAACAUAAAAGGUGGCUUCGGCUACCACUUACAGAUGGACCCGCGGCGCAUUAGCUAGUUGGUGAGGUAACGGCUCACCAAGGCAACGAUGCGUAGCCGACCUGAGAGGGUGAUCGGCCACACUGGGACUGAGACACGGCCCAGACUCCUACGGGAGGCAGCAGUAGGGAAUCUUCCGCAAUGGACGAAAGUCUGACGGAGCAACGCCGCGUGAGUGAUGAAGGUUUUCGGAUCGUAAAGCUCUGUUGUUAGGGAAGAACAAGUACCGUUCGAAUAGGGCGGUACCUUGACGGUACCUAACCAGAAAGCCACGGCUAACUACGUGCCAGCAGCCGCGGUAAUACGUAGGUGGCAAGCGUUGUCCGGAAUUAUUGGGCGUAAAGGGCUCGCAGGCGGUUUCUUAAGUCUGAUGUGAAAGCCCCCGGCUCAACCGGGGAGGGUCAUUGGAAACUGGGGAACUUGAGUGCAGAAGAGGAGAGUGGAAUUCCACGUGUAGCGGUGAAAUGCGUAGAGAUGUGGAGGAACACCAGUGGCGAAGGCGACUCUCUGGUCUGUAACUGACGCUGAGGAGCGAAAGCGUGGGGAGCGAACAGGAUUAGAUACCCUGGUAGU